GUUUUCCAGGUUUGUGUAUGCUGAUAAC
rnacentral:sRNA from 1 species